GUCUCUGACCCACCGACACCCAAACCCACCUUCUCCACCUUCGCUCCCAAGGCGCCAGACAUACUCAAGUAGCCGGACUCAGAAGACCUGAUGGGGGGGGCACUGUCUACAUAAAGGCCGGAGGGGAGUCCAAUGUGGCCUCUCUCCCUCUCCCUUCUCUGUGUCUGCAGCUCCCAGUUCAGGAGGCUCCGUUUUCUUCCCUGCUCUAUCCCGAGAAAGUCGGAUUCGUAGGAGUGACGCCCCCGAGCCCCGCCGGGCGCCCCCCCCACCGAGGUUGGGCACCAUGCGCCCUAAGGUCCUGGUCCAGAACAAGGCAUUGCAAGGUAGUUUUGGAGUUCAUUCCCAGGGUCAGUAAUGAAGCCUUGAAUGCUUCCAACAACAGUGUCGUUCACUGCUCUAGAAGAGAUUUGCAUUUCUUCUCGCUGGAUUUGACCUUGUGAGAAGGUCUACAUAUGUGUGCUGGUGUUUUCCCUGCGUGCUUACUCAUGAAGUGGUUCUCUUCACCCAUGGUAAGGUAUAAUUUUCCUAAUGUGCCAGGUUCGGCUAAGCUAAGAGAACUGUGGAAUUAUUCUUGAUGCAAUGCCUUUCUGAAUUCUCUAGAAAGUUUUUUGGGUUUUUUUUUUUUUUUUUUUUAAUGACAGAAAAUGUAUUUCACUUUCUUUCAAAGUUGGAAUAAAGUCAGUAUUCCCACAAUUUUCUACUGCCAGAAAAAAUGUUACUGGUCAGUUGGCAAGGUGCUUACAAAAGCUAGUUUGGCUUAAGAUUCAGGAGAGCUGAAGACAUUCAUGUUUUGUAGAUAUCGCAAUGAUGUAUUAAGGCCUUCUCUGUGCCAGGCACCAUACUGGCACCAAGUAUGCAGCUGUGAAGAUGGACAAGGUCCCUGCCAUAACAUUAAAAAGGAAAACAAUAAAUAAGGUUAUUUCUGAUAAUCAUAAUUGCAAUGAAUAAAAAUAAUUAAAUAGUAAUGACAGUGACUUGUGGGGAGGAGGGUGGAGAAAGGGGCACUGCUUUGAAAGGGACAUAGGGAUGAGAAAUUUUACUGAGUUAACGUUUGAGCCAAAACCUGGAUGGUAGAAGGGACCCGGCCUGAAGAAGAUAUGAGGGAAUUACACUCUAGGUUUUGGGAACAGCUGGUGCAAAGAGCCUAACACAGGAAUGUACUUGCCAUUUUCAAGGCACGGGAAGAGAGGGACAAAUGUGUGAGAUGAAGUUUGAGAGGGAGCAGAAACCAGAUGACAAAGCGUCUUGGAAGCCAUGUAUGAAAGAUUCUUGUCGGGUGUUAGAAAUAAUUAAGAAGGAAGCAGGGGUGAGAGAAUUCUAAAGAAGCCCUGGAGAAUUAAAAUUAUUUUUAAGAAGCUAAUAAGCCAGCGAAGCAAGAUGGAAAACUAUCUCAGAACGAAUGGAGCUCCCCAUAACAAGCGGAAAAUUCCCACGGAAUUGGUUAUUGCCAUUUCUAUAGUAGACACCUGAGAUUUGACAGUUUGCCAACUGCUAAUCCACUUUUGCUGAACGAGCACCAGAUAAUAACCUGAAAGAAGCCUGGUUUGUAUCUCUGGUGACUUUCAAAUGAUAGAAAACUUGAAGGAUUGGAGAGAAUUCAGUGGUUUUAAUCCCUCUGGAUGUUUGAACUUUGGAAAAGAAGAAGAGAAUUUAGAAAGGGAAUAGCUGCUUAUAUGUUCAUAAAACAGUAGUUCAUGUUUUGAAUCAUGGCAACGUUACUGAAAUAAUGGGCUCUGGCAGUGGCUGGGAAUAAUACCACCUUAGAAAGAAGGUUCCGUGUUCAGUGCCCUAAUUAAGACCCCCUGAAAACUGAUGUGGGUAUGUAGAAGUAUGUGGAGGUUCUUAAACAGUUUAAAAAGAUGAAUGAUAACCCUGUUGGAUGUUCUUCAAAAGAGGGUUGGAUGUUGAAAUAAUUUUGGAAAUAACUGCCUAAACUUUAUUUUUCUUGUGUGGCUUAUAAAUUAGCAUGUAUAGUUACUGAGAAGUUCUUUACAAAAGUUUUAUUUCUUUUAACCCACUACUUUCCAGACAUUUUUUACCUCAAAACCCCACACAUUUUUUGUUGUUUUUUGUCAUGUAGCUUUUCUUGAACUUUCCCAUAGCUAGUGUUCCACAGAACACGCUUUGGGAAAUGGAGUACUACAUGGCAAAUGUAAAGCAAUUUAGGUUAAAGCUGAAGGCAAAGAACAUUGCUCAGAUCAUUAAAAGCAGAUACUUUGAGGAAGAGCAUGGGUGGCAAAACAGAUGCAUAAUAUUGGGAGUGUCCCGCAGUUCACAGUUAAUAAUCAGAAUGAGAAUUGAGAAUAGCUUCAUUUGAAUGGGAAUCAGUCUCGAAGCACUUUAUGCUUUGUCCAGAUGAAAUGGAUAGCAGGAAAAAAAGUGAAUAGAAAACAUAUAUAAUAUAUGGCUGCAAGGAUCAUAUCCUCUGGUACAACCAUUUUAGGAAACUGAGAAAUUAUAUACCAAUGUAGAAAUCAGAAAUUUUAAGGAGAAAGUAUGGUCCCGGGAUGUAUUUCUUUUUAUAAGACUGAGCAGUGGAAGUUUUAAGCAUGAGGCUAAAGAUGAUGGAUGGGUGGGUGGAUGAUAGGUGACUAAUGUAUAUGAUCAACAUUUUAUAUUGUUGGUUUGCUUCAGCGUGUUCAUAAACAAUAAUCUGUAAGACCAGGUUAAAUAAUGAUAAUGUCAGCAAAAAGGCAAAACAGAAAAAUAAGCUCCUAACAGAGACAUCAACCUAUAGACAGCAGCCAAAAUCUUCUGCUAAAACUUGAGCAUGUGACCAAAUGCUAUAUUAUUUUGCUGGUAGUUUCCUGGAAAACAAAAAAGAAAAUAAGUGAACUUGAGAAGUUAAUUUUCACCAAAAGAAAAAUGUAUUCUUUAAAAAAAGCAGAUUUCAAAAAGUCAGAGGCAACAUAGGUAUGAUCCUAGAGUCAGAGACCCCCAGAAGGACAGGAGACACUUAAAUACAGGCUUUCAAAUAUAAAAUCACAAACACUCCAGGUGAGGAAUAAAUUCAGACACCAAUGUGACUACAUUUUAAGUUCUGGGUAAGUACAGAUCUGCAAAGAGAAUGAACAAAAAAAGUCCUAAGCUAAACAAGCAAGAGUAAAUAAAAAUCAAGGUUAUUUUAAGCUGAAAAUAACAUGUACUAGCUGUAUGUAAGAGUGCUAAGUUUUUUAACACCCUCCCCCUAAAUAACUAAUUUAUAGGCAAAAUUUUAAUUUUUACUUAUGCAAGGCUAAACAUUUUAAUGUGUUCAUUUAUCACUACUUGUGUGUCUUCUUUUUUAAAAUAUUAGGGUAUUAGAAGUUACUUAUAUGUGUAUAUAUUGAAUAUUCCUUUUCUGCUUAUUAAUGAAUAAGAGAUUGUGAUAUAUAAAGAAUGUUACUCCUUUGUUACAUAUAAAAGGAAAAUUCUUUUUGUCA